AGAAGAAACUGCAGGAGGAGAUUGAUGUGGCUCUGCCCAAUAAGGCAUCUCCCAACUAUGAUGAACUGAUGGAGAUGGAGUACCUUGACAUGGGUCCUUAGUGAUGGUACCAAUUUAUGCUCUUCACCGUGACCCAGAGUACUGGCCAGAAGCCUGAGGAAUUUCACCCUGAAAGGCAAUAGAAUCCCAGGAGUGUGAACCCACCCUGAACCAUGUUCAGCAAGGAGAACAAGGGCAACAUCAAUCCUUAUGUAUACCUGCCCUUCGGCAACGGACCCAGGAACUGCCUUGGCAUGAGG